rnacentral:rRNA from 1 species
UACAGAGGUCUCAAGCGUUGUUCGGAUUCAUUGGGCGUAAAGGGCGCGUAGGCGGCGGGGUAAGUCGGGUGUGGAAUCUCAGAGCUCAACUCUGAAACUGCACUCGAUACUGCUCUGCUUGAGGACUGGAGAGGAGACUGGAAUUCACGGUGUAGCAGUGAAAUGCGUAGAUAUCGUGAGGAAGACCAGUGGCGAAGGCGGGUCUCUGGACAGUUCCUGACGCUGAGGCGCGAAGGUCAGGGGAGCAAACGGG